rnacentral:rRNA from 1 species
UACGAAGGGUGCAAGCGUUACUCGGAAUUACUGGGCGUAAAGCGUGCGUAGGUGGUUUGUUAAGUCUGCUGUGAAAGCCCUGGGCUCAACCUGGGAACGGCAUUGGAAACUGGCUUACUAGAGUGCGGUAGAGGGGUGUGGAAUUCCCGGUGUAGCAGUGAAAUGCGUAGAUAUCGGGAGGAACAUCUGUGGCGAAGGCGACACCCUGGACCAGCACUGACACUGAGGCACGAAAGCGUGGGGAGCAAACAGG